rnacentral:lncRNA from 1 species
ACUGAUUCAAAGUGUUUUCUAUAGGCAGUUUUAAUAAAUAAUAUUUUUAAAUGUAAAUUACAAGCUCUUCAAUGAGUGUGAGGUGGUGAGCAAAUUUUGUGCUGAAAUAUGUAACAGUAGCACUCUUGCCUUGGAGUGGGGCCUCCAGGAACAAAUCCUGGACAGGUUUUGCUGAGCAUUAGUUCCCUUUGACUUCCAAGGGGCAGUAGUCAGAAGAAGGUUAGUUUUUAUGGGUUUAAAUGAAAAGAUCUGUUAUUAUCAUCAAUCAAGUUUGAGUGCCUUACAUUACUUCAUUACUUUUUUUAAUUUUGAAGGCUCACAAGACGGGCUCACAGGUCCCUGCUCCAGGCUACAGCAGCCAGUGGAAGCACAACACCAGUAUCACAAAGGCAAGCCCUUGGAAUGA